rnacentral:rRNA from 1 species
AGAGAGAGACAUGCGCGCAUAUCAAUAAGCGGAGGAAAAGAAACUAACUAGGAUUCCCCUUAGUAACGGCGAGUGAAGCGGGAAGAGCUCAAAUUUGAAAUCUUCAAGGUUUUACCUUGACGAAUUGUAGUUUAAAGAAGUGUUUUCUGUUGAAGUUUUGGUAAAAGUUCUUUGGAAUAGGACAUCAUAGAGGGUGAGAAUCCCGUAUUUGACCUUUACUUUCAACUUUGUGAUACACUUUCAAAGAGUCGGAUUGUUUGGGAAUGCAGUCCAAAAUGGGUGGUAAAUUUCAUCUAAAGCUAAAUAUUGGCGAGAGACCGAUAGCGAACAAGUACCGUGAGGGAAAGAUGAAAAGAACUUUGAAAAGAGAGUUAAACAGUACGUGAAAUUGUCAAAAGGGAAGCGUUUGACACCAGUGUUGUUUUUCUGAAAAUCAAUUAAAGAACUGUUUAUGCUAAGUUGUUUAGACUUUAUCAGCUAACUGUUUAGUUUUGAGCUUUUCUUUAAUGCACUUUUCAGUUAACAAGUCAACAUCAAUUUCUUUUGCUGUAAAAAAGCUUGAGGAAGGUGGCUUGAGAUUCGUCUUAAGUGUUUAUAGCCUCUUGCCUAUGCAGUCGGAGAGAUUGAGGUCUGCAGCGUAGAUCCUUCGGGGCUAAAUGCAUUUGUGCUAAGUUAUAGCAUUUUAUAGACAACUUGUUGACUAUGAUUUGUCUUGUAGCUUACUCGCUUAUGUUAUUUUACCUACGCUUAGGAUGUUGAUGUGAUACUGCGAGCA